GACGAACGCUGGCGGCGUGCCUAACACAUGCAAGUCGAACGGGGUAAUUUCUUCGGAGAUUACUUAGUGGCGAACGGGUGAGUAACGCGUGAGAAACCUGCCUUUCAGUGGGGGACAACAGUUGGAAACGACUGCUAAUACCGCAUAACACUUUAGUACCGCAUGGUACAGAAGUCAAAGCUUAAUGUGCUGAAAGAUGGUCUCGCGUCUGAUUAGCUAGAUGGCGGGGUAACGGCCCACCAUGGCGACGAUCAGUAGCCGGUCUGAGAGGAUGAACGGCCACAUUGGGACUGAGAUACGGCCCAG
rnacentral:rRNA from 1 species